rnacentral:rRNA from 1 species
GACGAACGCUGGCGGCGUGCUUAACACAUGCAAGUCGAACGCUGAAGCUUGGUGCUUGCACUGGGUGGAUGAGUGGCGAACGGGUGAGUAAUACGUGAGUAACCUGCCCUUGACUCUGGGAUAAGCCUGGGAAACUGGGUCUAAUACUGGAUACGACAUGUCACCGCAUGGUGGUGUGUGGAAAGGGUUUUACUGGUUUUGGAUGGGCUCACUGCCUAUCAGCUUGUUGGUGGGGUAAUGGCUCACCAAGGCGACGACGGGUAGCCGGACUGAGAGGGGGAACGGGCACAAGGGGACUGAGAGACGGACCAGACGGCUACGGGAGGCAGCAGGGGGGAAUAUUGCAGAAUGGGCGGAAGCCUGAUGCAGAGACGCCGGGUGAGGGAUGACGGCCUUCGGGUUGUAAACCUCUUUCAGAACGGAAGAAGCGAAAGUGACGGUACGUGAAGAAGAAGCGCCGGCUAACUACGUG